UUUGCCUGACCCCAUCCCCACACUCACAUACUACGACUAAACAAAACCCCUUUUUUCAAUUUCUUCAAUUAAUUUGGAAUUUUCGUCAAUAUCGACCGCUUUUCUGAAAAAAAAAGCGUUGAUUUUGAACAAGGAUCUGACGACUAUAAUCUAAUAACAUGAAAAGGAAUCAAGCAUUUUUCUUUUCAAUCACGAAUAAUAAUAAUAAUAAUAAUAAUAAUAACAACAACAACAACAACAACAAAAAUUUAUUUUUGAAAUAAAAUUGCAGAUCUAGAGAAGAAGAAAUCAAGAGCGGGAGAGAGCAAUUUUGGGCUGAAGAUCUCUCCUGAGUUCUUGCUUUGAGCUUUUUUCUCUCUCUAUUCUCUCCUCCAGUCUGUGAGAAAACAACGAGAUUAGAUUUCUAGUAAGUAU
rnacentral:lncRNA from 1 species